GCUUGCUGGGUGGAUUAGUGGCGAACGGGUGAGUAACACGUGAGCAACCUGCCCCUGACUCUGGGAUAAGCGCUGGAAACGGCGUCUAAUACUGGAUACGAGAAGCGAUCGCAUGGUCAGUUUCUGGAAAGAUUUUUUGGUUGGGGAUGGGCUCGCGGCCUAUCAGCUUGUUGGUGAGGUAAUGGCUCACCAAGGCGUCGACGGGUAGCCGGCCUGAGAGGGUGACCGGCCACACUGGGACUGAGACACGGCCCAGACUCCUACGGGAGGCAGCAGUGGGGAAUAUUGCACAAUGGGCGCAAGCCUGAUGCAGCAACGCCGCGUGAGGGAUGACGGCCUUCGGGUUGUAAACCUCUUUUAGCAGGGAAGAAGCGAAAGUGACGGUACCUGCAGAAAAAGCGCCGGCUAACUACGUGCCAGCAGCCGCGGUAAUACGUAGGGCGCAAGCGUUAUCCGGAAUUAUUGGGCGUAAAGAGCUCGUAGGCGGUCUGUCGCGUCUGCUGUGAAAUCUGGAGGCUCAACCUCCAGCCUGCAGUGGGUACGGGCAGACUAGAGUGCGGUAGGGGAGAUUGGAAUUCCUGGUGUAGCGGUGGAAUGCGCAGAUAUCAGGAGGAACACCGAUGGCGAAGGCAGAUCUCUGGGCCGUAACUGACGCUGAGGAGCGAAAGGGUGGGGAGCAAACAGGCUUAGAUACCCUGGU
rnacentral:rRNA from 1 species